ACGGCUCAGUAACACGUAGUCAAACUACCCAACAGAGAACGAUAACCUCGGGAAACUGAGGCUAAUAGUUCAUAAGAGAGUCAUGCUGGAAUGCCGAUUCUCUCAAACGCUCAGGCGCUGUUGGAUGUGGCUGCGGCCGAUUAGGUAGACGGUGGGGUAACGGCCCACCGUGCCGAUAAUCGGUACGGGUUGUGAGAGCAAGAGCCCGGAGACGGAAUCUGAGACAAGAUUCCGGGCCCUACGGGGCGCAGCAGGCGCGAAACCUUUACACUGCACGAAAGUGCGAUAAGGGGACCCCAAGUGCGAGGGCAUAUCGUCCUCGCUUUUUCCGACCGUAAGGUGGUCGGCGAAUAAGAGCUGGGCAAGACCGGUGCCAGCCGCCGCGGUAAUACCGGCAGCUCAAGUGAUGACCGAUUUUAUUGGGCCUAAAGCGUCCGUAGCCGGCCUCGAAGGUCCAUCGGGAAAUCCGCCAGCUCAACUGGCGGGCGUCCGGUGGAAACCACGUGGCUUGGGAUCGGAAGGCUCGAGGGGUACGUCCGGGGUAGGAGUGAAAUCCCGUAAUCCUGGACGGACCACCGAUGGCGAAAGCACCUCGAGAAGACGAAUCCGACGGUGAGGGACGAAAGCUAGGGUCUCGAACCGGAUUAGAUACCCGGGUAGUCCUAGCCGUAACGAUGCUCGCUAGGUGUGGCACAGGCUACGCGCCUGUGCUGUGCCGUAGGGAAGCCGAGAAGCGAGCCGCCUGGGAAGUACGUCCGCAAGGAUGAAACUUAAAGGAAUUGGCGGGGGAG
rnacentral:rRNA from 1 species